UAAUACUCUCUCCAUCUCUAAAUAUAAGGGAUUUUGGUGAGAUGUGACACAUCCUAGUACUGUCCAGAUUUAUAAUACUAGGAUGUGUCACAUCCUAUCAAAUCAAAAUACAUUAUAUUAUGGGACGGAGGGAGUAUGUGAUAUGUUAAC
rnacentral:misc_RNA from 1 species